AUUUUGCCUUUGUCUGUUACAUGAAAGAGUUCCACUACUAUCGGAUAUCUUCUCCCUGUCUGAAAAUGUGUUGGGUGCUGUACAAACCCAGAGAUAGGCAAAGUCGCUUCCCCAAAGAGCUUACAAUCUGUAUAGACAAGACAGACCAACAAUGGAGAAACAGAUGAGCAAAAUGUUGGAGGUGAAGUGCAGGCGAUGUACGACACAAAGUGGAGAUGGGCAAGUCAUGUAGUCCUCAGACAAGACAAUAGGUGGACAACCCGCAUCAGUGACUGGAUCCCCAGACACCACAAGCAACCACUGGGCAGACCGAAAACGUGCUGGGCUGAUUCCAUAACAAAACUCUUUGACCAGAAAUGGAAAGAACGUGCUCUCAACAAAAUGGAAUGGUGUGGCGUUGACUUGCGUUUGUCAGGAAGGAUGGACAAGGACAAGCCGGAUAAAGAUUGUUACAUAAUCACAAGACUCCAGGAUCUGGAGCUUUAAAAAAAACACCAAAGAGCGCAGGACUCACAAGAGUUGGCAAUGCUGCCUCCCUUCUUCUUUUCCUCUAUCAAGGUGUUCCAAAUCAUCUUGCUCUAUCAUUGCUCCAGUAGGCUGUCCUUCACUAUGCUCUUUUUCAUCCUGCCCACUCCACAGCACAGAUUUCAGGCUCUCUCUGUACAGCCUGCCAGAUGGCAUCCAUGUUAAGGAAAGUGUCAGAAAAUAGUCAGCAGGGAUUUUCUGGGGGGUGGGGUUUUGCCUGGUCUCACUUGCCCUCCUGCGUUCACUGGCAGCUCCAAAGAUGCAACCCCUCUAUCCCUUAUGGCAGGGGUGGCCAAUCUGUGGCUCCGGAGCCACAUGCGGCUCUUCAGAAGUUAAUAUGCGGUUCCUUGUAUAGGUACCGACUCUGGGGCUGGAGCUACACACGCCAUCUUUCCAAUGUGCCAGGUGGUGCUCACUAUUCAACCCCUGGCUCUGCCACAGGCCUUGCCCCCACUUCACCCCCUCCCUUGAGCCUUCCGUGCCCUUGCUCCUCCCCCUCCCCCUCCCCCCAGAGCCUCCUGCACGCCACAAAACAGUUGAUCGGGAGGUGCAGGGAGGGAGGGGGAGGCGCUGAUUGGAGUGGCUGCCAGUGGGUUGGAGGCGCUGGGAG